UGGUGGCUAUAGCAAGGAGGUCACACCUGUUCCCAUGCCGAACACAGAAGUUAAGCUCCUUAGCGUCGAUGGUAGUUGGACUUACGUUCAGCUAGAGUAGAACGUUGCCAGGCA
rnacentral:rRNA from 1 species